rnacentral:misc_RNA from 1 species
GUGGUGUUAGAAUAGGACACUGAGCAAUGAAGCUUGUAGCUUUAGGUACGGCAUUAGCUGUGGCAUUCUCAAACAAACCGAUCUCUGAUCCCUGUCGCUAAUAUAAUAUCUCUACUUCCUCUUCUCGUUUCUCUCACUCUCUCCCUGAAAGUUGCUUUGGUGAAGAAGUAAAGACACCCCAUCCCCAAGAGAAAUUAGAACUCUCUCUCUCUCUCUCUCU